AAGUCGUAACAAGGUUUCCGUAGGUGAACCUGCGGAAGGAUCAUUACCGAAUGAACGUGCGUCCUCAUUGUGGUAGACUUGCCGGGUGAAAUCAACCGAGGGGGAGGAGGUUGAUAGCAUCCCCUGGCGGGGUUAGAUGUCGGACGCCGCUGGGAAGGCCUGGUCUACCACGCCUUUCACCAAACAAACAAACCUGUCGUCGUAUGUUGGGGUGGCAUCGGUUGUUGCCUUUAAAUAUAUAAAUAUAUAACUUUCAACAACGGAUCUCUUGGCUCUC
rnacentral:misc_RNA from 1 species